AUCCUGGCUCAGGAUGAACGCUAGCGGGAGGCUUAAUACAUGCAAGUCGAACGGCAGCGGACCUUCGGGUGCCGGCGAGUGGCGUAACGGGUGAGUAAUAUAUCGGAACGUACCUUCAGUGGGGACAACGUAGCGAAAGUUACGCUAAUACCGCAUAUUCUGUGAGCAGGAAAGCAGGGGAUCGCAAGACCUUGCGCUGAUUGAGCGGCCGAUAUCAGAUUAGCUAGUUGGUGAGGUAAAGGCUCACCAAGGCGACGAUCUGUAGCGGGUCUGAGAGGAUGAUCCGCCACACUGGAACUGAGACACGGUCCAGACUCCUACGGGAGGCAGCAGUGGGGAAUUUUGGACAAUGGGCGCAAGCCUGAUCCAGCCAUGCCGCGUGAGUGAAGAAGGCCUUCGGGUUGUAAAGCUCUUUCGGCCGGGAAGAAAUCGCCACAGGUUAAUACCCUGUGUGGAUGACGGUACCGGAAUAAGAAGCACCGGCUAACUACGUG
rnacentral:rRNA from 1 species